UCAUGAAUAUAGCACGCUCCUUAAAAACAUCCCACUUUCCUGAAGUUUUCAUUUUCCAUCAAACAACCUACCCCAAUCAACUCAAGCGAGUUCCUGUCUCAUACCCUUAAAGUUGCCCUUGCCCUAAUUUAGCAUUUUAACCCGUGGGCUCU